GGAAGUUAAGAAAUUGUUUCUUAACUUUUAACUAAAAAAUCUAAGAACCGGUUAUUAAAUAAGGACUUUACGAACCGGUUCUUAGCUUUUUUAGUUAAAAGUUAAGAAACAGUUUCUUAACUUCC
rfam:Brassica napus, WGS project CCCW01000000 data, contig: 27028